AUACGGAGGAUGCAAGCGUUAUCCGGAUUUAUUGGGUUUAAAGGGUGCGUAGGCGGGACUGUAAGUCAGGGGUGAAAUACUGCAGCUUAACUGUAGCAUUGCCUUUGAAACUGCCGUUCUUGAGUACAGUUGAGGUAGGCGGAAUGUGGUGUGUAGCGGUGAAAUGCAUAGAUAUACCACAGAACGCCGAUUGCGAAGGCAGCUUACUAAGCUGUUACUGACGCUGAGGCACGAAAGCGUGGGGAUCAAACAGGAUUAGAUACCCUGGUAGUCCACGCUGUAAACGAUGAUUACUGGUUGUUAGCGAUAUAUAGCUAGUGACUGAGCGAAAGCAUUAAGUAAUCCACCUGGGGAGUACGUCGGCAACGAUGAAACUCAAAGGAAUUGGCGGGG
rnacentral:rRNA from 1 species